rnacentral:rRNA from 1 species
UACAGAGGGUGCAAGCGUUAAUCGGAAUUACUGGGCGUAAAGCGCGCGUAGGUGGUUCAGUAAGAUGGGUGUGAAAUCCCCGGGCUCAACCUGGGAACUGCAUCCAUAACUGCUGGGCUAGAGUACGGUAGAGGGUAGUGGAAUUUCCUGUGUAGCGGUGAAAUGCGUAGAUAUAGGAAGGAACACCAGUGGCGAAGGCGACUACCUGGACUGAUACUGACACUGAGGUGCGAAAGCGUGGGGAGCAAACAGG